CAGGAAGCAGCUUGCUGUUUCGCUGACGAGUGGCGGACGGGUGAGUAAUGUCUGGGAAACUGCCUGAUGGAGGGGGAUAACUACUGGAAACGGUAGCUAAUACCGCAUAACGUCGCAAGACCAAAGAGGGGGACCUUCGGGCCUCUUGCCAUCGGAUGUGCCCAGAUGGGAUUAGCUAGUAGGUGGGGUAACGGCUCACCUAGGCGACGAUCCCUAGCUGGUCUGAGAGGAUGACCAGCCACACUGGAACUGAGACACGGUCCAGACUCCUACGGGAGGCAGCAGUGGGGAAUAUUGCACAAUGGGCGCAAGCCUGAUGCAGCCAUGCCGCGUGUAUGAAGAAGGCCUUCGGGUUGUAAAGUACUUUCAGCGGGGAGGAAGGGAGUAAAGUUAAUACCUUUGCUCAUUGACGUUACCCGCAGAAGAAGCACCGGCUAACUCCGUGCCAGCAGCCGCGGUAAUACGGAGGGUGCAAGCGUUAAUCGGAAUUACUGGGCGUAAAGCGCACGCAGGCGGUUUGUUAAGUCAGAUGUGAAAUCCCCGGGCUCAACCUGGGAACUGCAUCUGAUACUGGCAAGCUUGAGUCUCGUAGAGGGGGGUAGAAUUCCAUGUGUUAGCGGU
rnacentral:rRNA from 1 species